AUUGAACGCUGGCGGCAGGCCUAACACAUGCAAGUCGAACGGUAACAGGGAUUAGCUUGCUGAUUCGCUGACGAGUGGCGGACGGGUGAGUAAUGUCUGGGAAACUGCCUGAUGGAGGGGGAUAACUACUGGAAACGGUAGCUAAUACCGCAUAACGUCGCAAGACCAAAGAGGGGGACCUUAGGGCCUCAUGCCAUCAGAUGUGCCCAGAUGCGAUUAGCUUGUAGGAGGGGUAACGGCUCACCCAGGCGACGAUCCCUAGCUGGUCUGAGAGGAUGACCAGCCACACUGGAACUGAGCCACGGUCCAGACUCCUACGGGGGGCAGCAGUGGGGAAUAUUGCACAAUGGGCGCAAGCCUGAUGCAGCCAUGCCGCGUGUAUGAAGAAGGCCUUCGGGUUGUAAAGUACUUUCAGCGGGGAGGAAGGGAGUAAAGUUAAUACCUUUGCUCAUUGACGUUACCCGCAGAAGAAGCACCGGCUAACUCCGUG
rnacentral:rRNA from 1 species